UACGUAGGGUGCAAGCGUUAAUCGGAAUUACUGGGCGUAAAGCGUGCGCAGGCGGUUGUGUAAGUCUGACGUGAAAUCCCCGGGCUCAACCCGGGAACUGCGUCCGAUACUGGUUGGCUUGAAUCCGGGAGAGGGAUGCGGAAUUCCAGGUGUAGCGGUGAAAUGCGUAGAUAUGCGGAGGAACACCGAUGGCGAAGGCAAUCCCCUGGGCCUGCACUGACGCUCAUGCACGAAAGCGCGGGGAGCAAACAGG
rnacentral:rRNA from 1 species